AGGGUUUAUAUCUUUACUCUUGCCACCCGCUCUGAUAAGGCGGGGGUCAGUGGUUCAAGUCCACUUAGCCCUACCA
rnacentral:tRNA from 1 species